rnacentral:lncRNA from 1 species
CCUUAUCCGUUGCGCUGGUGCCUGAUUUUCUGACUGCAAAGUCUCUUCAAAGUCUCCUUUGCAAUUUCUCUGAAGUCUAAACCUCCCUUUGUCUUUUCAUGGAUGAGAGAAUAACAGUGGCUAUAUGAAACGGAGCGGCGAUCUCAAAUACUCGCCAUACUCUGUUUUUCAGCUCCACUUGUUCCAGCAAGCACUUCUGAGACAUCAAAGCGAGUUGGCCAAGACUGAGAAGCAAGUCGUACUCAGGAAGCUGCCCCCCAGGGUGACUUUGCAGGCUUUGCCUUUCCGACCUCUACAGCAGGUGGCUCGGUUCUGUGCAGCACCAGCUCCUCUCACCCUCCUGAAAAAAGAAGAGAGAAGUAGCUUUUGCACUAUUGUCUGGCAUCAUCUACCUGGAACCAACAGGGUCCACAUUCAGACCACGAAGAAGAGAGACCUCCAGGUGAGAAUUCGUAAUGGACCUGCCCUUCUCAGCCCCGAGAAUAGGAGACUUUCCUUCUUGAAGAGUGUUUAAAUGGGGAAAACAAUGAAACACAAUUUUUUAAUGAAAAUAAACAUUAAAUGACAAGGUGAAUAUUACCAUUCCAGCUAGUGGCUCUUCAUCUACUUUUCCUGAGAGACGACUAUGAGGACUAUACCCCAAAUAACACUCAAGUGAUACAUAACUUUCAGCUCCAGGAGUAAAGGUACUGUCAGUCUCUUGUGUUCCUACUGAUCAGCUCAGCAUCUGGAUCAUAUGUACCACAUGUAAGAUGACCAUUUUCUAUCUUCUUAACUACAUUGCAAAAGAUGCUGGCGAUUCAUGUGAUCUUAACAGGUAUUCUACAGUUCAGUAUUGUAGGAAGUCGUUCAUUUUUAUUCUUAUCUCUUUGGGUUCCACAUUCCUAUUUACUUGUUAAAGAGUGAGUAUUCCUGGGGGAAAGUUGUUCUAUCUUAGAUUUUCAAAACUAACUGUGAUGAAAUGAUUUUAUGUUUUAAAAAAACAUGUUUGAGUGUUUUGAGAACUACUGGUAUCUUGUGGAACACAACAAAGAAAAUUGUGGCAUAGGCAAUUAUAAAUACAAUAGAUUUACCCUCUUGAAAUAUAAAAGGAGUGCUGUUUACCUGAUUUUUGUAUGGAAAAGAGUAUUUGAAAACUGUAACACUAAAUACUAUGGGAAAAUACCAGUAUCACUCAAUAUUUGUGGGAGGUCAAAAUGUCGCACACUUAUUUUAUAGGGAGAUUUUGCAGUGCUAUUAACAUCUAAAAUACAUUGCACCCACUAACCAUUACCACUGACUCAGUAACUCCAACUCUAGAAUUUAGCCCACAGGUAUAUUGACACACAUACAAAACAACAAAAGUACACAUAAACAUUGCAGCAUUGGUUGUAAUACGUUCAGAUUAAAAUGUCAAUGAGUGUAAACAUUCAUUGGUAGGGCGCUGUUGUAUAAAUUAUUGCAUACGCACACUAAAGUGAAAAAGCUGGAGGCAUUUUGAAAAGCUCUGGAAUAUACUGAAGGAGGAUAAAAGGAUCCAGAAAGUAUGUAGAGUAUUCUAACACUGACAGAAAUAGAGGAGCAAUUGUCUUCUGGGGGCAAAAUCUUAACUCCACAAAUAUUAAUAACAAAUUAAUAGGAUUGAAACUCAUGAAUGUGAGGACCAGAGGGAGACUUUGCUCUAUAGUCUUUUAUUCUUUCUAAUGAUUGAUGUCUGGAAACACAUUGAAGUGUAAGAGAAAAAAUAAAAACAACCACUUGUGCUCCAAGGCGGCAUUUGUAUCACUAAAAUUCAAACAUCACACGAGUAAGAAACCACAAAUUUUAUGAGGAAAAUCUAAGAGCACAACCUUCAAAUAUAUGUAAAUGGCAUAUGAGAAAAUCAAGAGAUCUAAUAAAAAAGUAGCACAGUUUUGUACAUAUUAAAUGGUUACAAAAUGCAUAAAUCCUAUGAAAAUAUGGCACUUCAUUGCGAAGAUUUGAAAGUGUGCUUUUAGAAGUAUAUUGUGGAGUCAGUGGCAGCGAGGGAUUCCUUGUGUGGAUCUGAAAUCUGAUGCAGCGUUGUUACCAUGGAUGCUGAGGUUGUGGUACCAUUGUGAGCAGAGGUAUCCAGUAAGACGUGUGCUUGUGUAUACUUCUGUAUACGCCUUGGCAGGGGGGUUCCCAGUGUGGAAUUGUAUUCACAGUUGUUUGUGGCUAAGAGUGUUCUGCAUAAAUAAACACCAAAUUCCAUGACACUCAACUCGUUUCCUGACACAUCAUUUGCACUGGAACAAAUUCAAGUUUUCAAAAUAAGUGCUGUGCCAAAAGAGUUAAAUUAGUCAUUGUUAGUUAUUUACAUAUUACAUUUUUUUGCGAACAAUUUACUUUGUUGAUUUCAGUUCUGUUUUGUUUUGUUUCCGGUACCAG